rfam:Capsicum annuum cultivar Zunla-1 unplaced genomic scaffold scaffold1174, whole genome shotgun sequence
AUCCUAGAGAAGAACUUCAUUUCGCUAUCGCCUGUUAUAACCAUUUAAUGUGAGAUUUCAUGGGAGGCAUAUAUUGAUAUUGGAUGUUUGCUGACAGCACCUUUCUUUUCUCCAGGGGGUGUUUCAAUAAUACCUCUCCGUACACAU